rnacentral:rRNA from 1 species
UCGAUGUCGGCUCGUCAUAUCCUGGAGGUGGAGUCGCUUCCAAGGGUUGGGCUGUUCGCCCAUUAAAAUGGCACGCGAGCUGGGUUCAGAACGUCGUGAGACAGUUCGGUCCCUAUCCAUCGUGGGCGUAGGAUAUUUGAAAGGAUCUGUCCCUAGUACGAGAGGACCGGGAUGGACGUACCAAUUGUGCAUCUGUUGUCGCGCCAGCGGCACGGCAGAGUAGCGAAGUACGGACGGGAUAAACGCUGAAAGCAUCUAAGCGUGAAACCCACCUUAAGAUAAGAUAUCCCUUUCUUUAUGAAGUAAGACCCCUUGCAGACCACAAGGUUGAUAGGUCAGAGGUGUAAGUGCAGUCAAUGCAUUUAGCUGACUGAUACUAAUAGGUCGAGGGCUUGAUCACAA